CUCGGAAAACCCUAGAAAAUUUUGAUCUCUAAAACCUCUUCAUCCUCUAUAUUCAAUCCACUUACAUCUCUCUAGCAUUCCUAAUCUCAAUUCUUAAUUUUCCGAUCCAUUCUACUUCAUUUUUACUCACUCCGAUCAGUCUAAGCUUUCUUCAUCAACCACAGUUUUGAAUUCGGUCGAUUCUCAGCGGAGCAUCGAUCGAUUCGCCGUCGAAUCUUCAUACUGUGCAAUGGUUUCAGUUGGUUGAUUUCAAGAUGAAGUUCAAGAGGAGGGCUGUAGAAGUGCCUCCAAAAAUUAAAUCCUUCAUCAAUGGUGUUAUAACUACUACACUUGAGAAUAUAGAGGAACCGCUGAAAGGUUUUGUUUGGGAGUUCGAUAAGGGAGAUUUUCAUCACUGGGUUGAUCUUUUCAAUCACUUCGAUACAUUUUUUGAGAAGCACAUAAAAACAAGGAAGGAUUUGCAGUUUGAGGAUAACUUUUUGGAAUCUGAUCCUCCUUUCCCAAGAGAGGCUGUUCUUCAGAUUCUCCGUGUUGUAAGGAUAAUUUUGGAGAACUGUACAAAUAAGCAUUUCUAUAGUUCUUAUGAGCAUCAUCUUUCAUCUCUGCUUGCCUCCAUCGAUGCGGAUGUGGUUGAGGCUUGCCUGCAAACUUUGGCAGCUUUCUCGAAGAAAACAAUUGGAAAGUCCUCAAUUUCACCAUCUUUAAAUAGAAGUAAAGGGCACUGGCGGGUGUGUCAAUUUAUUUAUUUGCUUUCGUUUAAUUGAUAGCAGGGUACUGGCAGGUUUCUUCCUCAACUUCAACUUUCUUGCUUUAUUUUUUCAGGUUUGUUUUUGUGUUCUUUUGUUGCUCUGUUUUAUUGAUUUCAGCUUUCAUUGAAGUGAUUGGACUUGUCAUUCUUCAAAUUGAAUGAAGGGUUCGCUUUGUAUUUUUGGUCGUUUUGUUUCAGGUACAAAACCGACCCAUUUUGUACGUCUCUCUAUUGUUCCUCAAUCAGGUACGAGGAAGACAUUUUUGCAUUAAUUUUGUGUAUCUAAGUUUGGAUUUGUUUUUUCAUCUGCAAAUUUAUCUAAAAAUUAUCCUAAAUCUCAAUUGUUUUUUAUUGAUUGUGUAAAUAUAUGCUUCUUCUUUGGCUGUUGCUGCUGUUUAAUUUUUCCACAAAUUUGCUGUGUUCAUUGCAUCAAAUAUUCGUGGAUAUGAAAUGGGUGUGCUGCUAUGGAAGCAUUUCUAACUUUUCUUUUUAGACGAAGUAAGAUUUCUUUUCUACUUAUGUAUGCAUGCAUGCAUGUAUAUAAAUUGAUUGUUCUAUUGACAUCUUGGAAAUUUUGAAACAUGUUAAAUUGAUUUUCUUUUAUAAAGAGAACUAAUUGUACUUUCCUGCUACAUUUCUGUAACAAAUUCUGUGGUUAUCUUAAGUUUCUAAUCUGUAUAUAUGUGUAAAUGUGUGUGUUGAUGGUGUGAAGAUGUUAUCCAUUCGUUGGUAGGCUUAUCUAGAUCACGAUCUUAGCAGUUGGAUUGUUCAGUAUAUGAGUUUUAGUAUUGUUUGGAUUGGUGGGUAUGAUUUAAACUUUGAUAAAUUUGUUUGAAUUUUGCAAAAUUGAUAUGUUUAGUGACCUUUUCUUUGGCAAUUUUGUUGUGUCCAAUUCGUUAAAUUGCCACAAAAAUGAAAUUUUUGGGAAUUCUUCUGAAUUAUUGUUCAUUUGGUCAAUUGGGUCAGUGUUGUUUUCGUGAAUUUUGGUUUGAAUUUGUGAUUUGGUUUUUCAUUGGAGGGGUUUGAAUUCAAUUCCUUGGAAAAUGGGGGUUAUGUCGAGGAGGGUUUUGCCCAUUUGUGGUAAAGUCUGUUUCUUCUAUCCUUCCCUGCGGGCAAGGUCGAGACAGCCUGUAAAGCGAGGUCAGUUGGCGUGACUUUUUGCAAUUCUUGUGCUUCUGUAUGUUGAGGAUGAUUACUUCAAAGUAUUCUAUCAGUUGGGAUUGAAAAUACAAAUGAAAGACUUAAGGGUAAUCACCUAUUCAUGCUGUCAUUUUAAAAAGAAACCGAGGUGUUUUAGAUGCCUUAUUGAAAUCAGAACCAAGGUUCAUUCAAUUAAGAGAUGAAGGACUCCACUUCACUUGAUUGCAUGAUUGGGCUAUCUUGAAGAGGUUCAGUACUUGUUAGGAAGACAGAGUUCAGGUGCUAUUGCAAGGGACAACAAUGGCUUACUUCCCUAUUCAUUUAGCAUCAAUUAAAGGCCAUGUUGAUGUUGUCCGGGCGUUGCUUCAGUAUUGGCCUGAUUCGAGGGAACUGCUCAACUGUCAUGGUCAAAAUAUUCUUCAUGUUGCUGCCAAGAGCAGAGGACAUAACAUGGUUAGUUACUUUCUCCAAACUCCUGAGCUCGAGAAGGUUUAUAAACAUGAGGGACAAACAUGUAAACACACCCUUGCAUUUGGCCACCAUGGAUUGGCAUCCAAAGAUUGUUAGUACCCUAACAUGGGAUGAAAGAGUGGACUUAUAGUGAAUAAUGAGGGUGUGUCUGCUCUUGAUUCUGCUGAGUACUACAUGGAAAGAAUGCCCUCAUUUCGAAAGGUAUGCCCUCAGCUAAUUAAAUAACCCUACACUUCAGAUACCUAAUCAAACAUAACAAAUGAGGGUAUGUCUGCUCUUGAUUCUUCAUGUUAUUUAUUUAUUUUUAUUUGCAUCAAACUCCACUUACAAUAAUAUGCCAAAAUAGGGUCCAAGCAAAGCUAUAUCUAUUGUUAUUCAUGAUUAAUGUUAUGUAAUGGUUACUAUUGUGAAUCUUGUGCCAGUCCAUAUAUACAAUCUCGAAAUGCUUCUUCA